GCAUGGCUGUCGUCAGCUCGUGUUGUGAAAUGUUGGGUUAAGUCCCGCAACGAGCGCAACCCUUAUCCUUUGUUGCCAGCGGUCCGGCCGGGAACUCAAAGGAGACUGCCAGUGAUAAACUGGAGGAAGGUGGGGAUGACGUCAAGUCAUCAUGGCCCUUACGACCAGGGCUACACACGUGCUACAAUGGCGCAUACAAAGAGAAGCGACCUCGCGAGAGCAAGCGGACCUCAUAAAGUGCGUCGUAGUCCGGAUUGGAGUCUGCAACUCGACUCCAUGAAGUCGGAAUCGCUAGUAAUCGUGGAUCAGAAUGCCACGGUGAAUACGUUCCCGGGCCUUGUACACACCGCCCGUCACACCAUGGGAGUGGGUUGCAAAAGAAGUAGGUAGCUUAACCUUCGGGAGGGCGCUUACCACUUUGUGAUUCAUGACUGGGGUGAAGUCGUAACAAGGUAACCGUAGGGGAACCUGCGGUUGGAUC
rnacentral:rRNA from 1 species